AGAGUUUGAUCCUGGCUCAGGAUGAACGCCGGCGGUGUGCCUAAUACAUGCAAGUCGAACGCGUUGGCCCAACUGAUUGAACGUGCUUGCACGGACUUGGCGUUGGUUUACCAGCGAGUGGCGGACGGGUGAGUAACACGUAGGUAACCUGCCCCAAAGCGGGGGAUAACAUUUGGAAACAGAUGCUAAUACCGCAUAACAAUUUGAAUCGCAUGAUUCAAAUUUAAAAGAUGGUUUCGGCUAUCACUUUGGGAUGGACCUGCGGCGCAUUAGCUUGUUGGUAGGGUAACGGCCUACCAAGGCUGUGAUGCGUAGCCGAGUUGAGAGACUGAUCGGCCACAAUGGAACUGAGACACGGUCCAUACUCCUACGGGAGGCAGCAGUAGGGAAUCUUCCACAAUGGGCGCAAGCCUGAUGGAGCAACACCGCGUGAGUGAAGAAGGGUUUCGGCUCGCAAAGCUCUGUUGUUAGAGAAGAACGUGCGUGAGAGCAACUGUUCACGCAGUGACGGUAUCUAACCAGAAAGUCACGGCUAACUACGUGCCAGCAGCCGCGGUAAUACGUAGGUGGCAAGCGUUAUCCGGAUUUAUUGGGCGUAAAGCGAGCGCAGGCGGUUUGAUAAGUCUGAUGUGAAAGCCUUUGGCUUAACCAAAGAAGUGCAUCGGAAACUGUCAGACUUGAGUGCAGAAGAGGACAGUGGAACUCCAUGUGUAGCGGUGGAAUGCGUAGAUAUAUGGAAGAACACCAGUGGCGAAGGCGGCUGUCUGGUCUGCAACUGACGCUGAGGCUCGAAAGCAUGGGUAGCGAACAGGAUUAGAUACCCUGGUAGUCCAUGCCGUAAACGAUGAGUGCUAGGUGUUGGAGGGUUUCCGCCCUUCAGUGCCGCAGCU
rnacentral:rRNA from 1 species